UUACUUAUAAAGCGAUCAAAAUCAUUCUAAUUAUUACGAGAAAAACAGAGAAAAUAUGCCUCAAAUUCUCAUAUUUGUAUAUGCUUUGAUCAUCUUUCUCUCUCUAAUUCUUGUUGCAACUUAUAAGACUGACGUGCCUUGCAAAACUAACGAUGAUUGUCCAGAGGCACCUCAUCCAAUAAUUGUGAAGUGCAUUAAUAGUAUUUGUGAUAUAUCGAGGUUACCGUAUUAAUUAGGUUUAAAAUUAAUUAUGUUAGCUUUUUUAUUUUUUGGCUUUCAUUAUCAGUUGAAUCUGAUUCGGGGGUCAGUUCUGGCAUCAAGUGAUUUCAGCCUCCUCCCGAUCAGAGUUGCGGGGGAUCAAACCGUUUAAUCAAAUAAUUUUAUUUGUAUUUUGUACUUUAAUAAUUUUCUUCAAAAAUUUUGUAAAGAAAACUUCAAAAUUUAUAUGUUUCUCUAACCUUUACUAGUACAUUUUUUAUGACAAACUCAAAGUUGUAUUAUUAUAUCAUCAUCAUGCAAAGAUUCAUAUCUUCAUUUGCUCAUAGAAGAUUUCACAAACAAUGUCACUACUGUAUAAUUAUAAUAAUAUAUUUUAAUAAAUAAAUAUAAUAUCUAAUUAUGUA